rnacentral:rRNA from 1 species
GAUGAACGCUAGCUACAGGCUUAACACAUGCAAGUCGAGGGGCAUCAGGAACAUAGCGUGCUAUGAUUGCUGGCGACCGGAGCACGGGUGCGUAAAACGUAUGCAAUUUGCCCGUUACUCGGGGAUAGCCGUUCGAAAGAAAGAUUAAUCCCAGAUUGUAUUAUUAAGCGGCAUCUUUUUCUAAUUAAAGAUUAAUCGGUAACGGCUGAGGAUGCGUAUGAUUAGUUAGUUGGCGGUGUAACGGCCCACCAAGACAACUAUCAGUAGGGGUUCUGCGACGAAGGUACCCCACACUGGAGCGGAGACACGGUCCAGACUCCUACGGAAGACAGCAGUGAGGAAUAUUGGUCAAUGGACGAGAGUCUGAACCAGCCAAGUAGCGUGAAGGAUGACUGCCCUAUGGGUUGUGAACUUCUUUUGUUUGUGAAUAAAGUUAGGUACGUGUACCUAUUUGUAUGUACCAUUCGAAUAAGCAUCGGCUAAUUCCGUGCCAGCCGCCGCGGUAAAAC